rnacentral:rRNA from 1 species
AUUGAACGCUAGCGGGAUGCUUUACACAUGCAAGUCGAACGAGUGGCGGACGGGUGAGUAAUAUAUCGGAACGUGCCCAGUAGCGGGGGAUAACUACUCGAAAGAGUGGCUAAUACCGCCUACAAUUGGAGCGACAGAUAUAGGAGUAGCUAGUGGGGGGGGGAAAGGCUGCCCAAGGCAACGAUCCGUAGCUGGUUUGAGAGGACGACCAGCCACACUGGGACUGAGACACGGCCCAGACUCCUACGGGAGGCAGCAGUGGGGAAUUUUGGACAAUGGGGGAAACCCUGAUCCAGCCAUCCCGCGUGUAUGAGAAGGCCUUCGGGUUGUAAAGUACUUUCAGUCGGGAGGCGUUACCGACAGAAGAAGCACCGGCUAACUCCGUGCCAGCAGCCGCGGUAAUAC